UUGAAAGCUUCGGCUUCUUUGAUGUUUACCACCCCUGAUGAUUUCUAUAUCUAUUGUUGCUUCCACCCACUUUGUAGGUUGUAUGCCUAUAUUUGUUGGUGGAUAGAUUAUAAAACUUACUAUUGUCUUAUAAGCUAUGUCAUUGUCUGAAUUUAUGAUGAAUAAAAAACAUCUUA
rnacentral:misc_RNA from 1 species